rnacentral:rRNA from 1 species
AAGGCGAUAGAAAAGGAACCAGGCGCAAUAGAAAAAGUACACGCAAGGGAACGCUGAAAGAGAAAUGAAACAACUCAGUAAAGCACAAAAAAGCAGAGCUUUUACCUCGUACCUUUUGCAUCAUGUUUUAGCAAGAGCCCCUCAAGCAAAAAGCAUUUUAGUUUGACCACCCGAAACUAGGUGAGCUACUCCAAGACAGCCUGACAAUAGGGCCAACCCGUCUCUGUGGCAAAAGAGUGGGAAGAGCUUUGAGUAGAGGUGACAGACCUACCGAACCCGGUUAUAGCUGGUUACCUGAGAAUUGAAUAGAAGUUCAGCCUCUCGAAUUCUUUCCUCCCUAAUAGUAGUUCUUAAUUGAGACACAAAGAAAUCUAGAGAGUUACUCAAAGGGGGUACAGCCCCUUUGAAACAAGACACAACUUUAUUAGGAGGAUAAGGAUCAAACUCAAACAAGGUCAAAUAUUUCGGUGGGCCUAAAAGCAGCCACCCCUAGAAGAAAGCGUUAAAGCUCAAAUAUUCUCCAAACCCUUAAUUCUGAUCAUAAAUUCCUAUUCCCCUUAACCUAUCAGGUCUUCCAAUUCCUCCAUUGGAGCGACCAUGCUAAUAUGAGUAACAAGAGAGCCCAGACUCUCUCCGUGCACAAGUGUAAAUCGGAACGGACUAACCACCGAACAUUAACGACCCCAAAAAAAGAGGGAACCGGGCCGCAAACAGACAACCAGAAAAUUGCCCAAAGACCAUCGUUAACCUCACACUAGUGCGCUCACGCGGAAAGACCUAAAGAAAAAGAAGGAACUCGGCAAAAAUGCUUAAAGCCUCGCCUGUUUACCAAAAACAUCGCCUCUUGUCACCCUAAAAUAAGAGGUCCCGCCUGCCCUGUGACUAUAAGUUUAACGGCCGCGGUAUUUUGACCGUGCGAAGGUAGC